CAAUGCAAAUUUCAGUCAUUUGGAGUUUUUCCUGAAAGCAUACCUUAAAAAUGGAAUCAGGACAUCAAAAUUAGCCAGGUAGGAGUGUCAAAUUUUUUGUUUUUGAUCUAGCAGUGAUGAUGUAGCGCUGAUGGAUGGCUAACGUGGCGAUGACAUGGCACUUUUUGUUGAUGUGGUGCUAUGUGACAGGUGACGUCAAUGAUGACUUGGCAGAGUAUACAAUAAAUCAGGUGCAGGCAAG
rnacentral:misc_RNA from 1 species